rnacentral:rRNA from 1 species
CCUACGGGGGGCAGCAGGGAGGAAUAUUGGUCAAUGGACGAGAGUCUGAACCAGCCAAGUAGCGUGAAGGAUGACGGCCCUAUGGGUUGUAAACUUCUUUUAUAGGGGAAUAAAAUGUGCCACGUGUGGGAUUUUGUAUGUACCAUAUGAAUAAGGAUCGGCUAACUCCGUGCCAGCAGCCGCGGUAAUACGGAGGAUCCGAGCGUUAUCCGGAUUUAUUGGGUUUAAAGGGAGCGUAGAUGGGUUGUUAAGUCAGUUGUGAAAGUUUGCGGCUCAACCGUAAAAUUGCAAUUGAUACUGGCAGUCUUGAGUACAGUUGAGGUCGGCGGACUUCGUGGUGUAGCGGUGACAUGCU